rnacentral:ncRNA from 1 species
AAUCUUCAGGGCAGGGUGCGUAUAUUUUACAAUUCCCGACCGGCGGUAUAGUCCGCGAAGAUCGAGAGAUCUUGAUUUGGUGAAAUUCCAAAACCGACAGUAUAGUCUGGAUGAAAGAAGAA